GGAUUAGAUACCCUGGUAGUCCACGCCGUAAACGAUGUCUACUAGCCGUAGGGCUCCUUGAGGGCUUUGUGGCGUAGCUAACGCGCUAAGUAGACCGCCUGGGGAGUACGGCCGCAAGGUUAAAACUCAAAUGAAUUGACGGGGGCCCGCACAAGCGGUGGAGCAUGUGGUUUAAUUCGAUGCAACGCGAAGAACCUUACCAGGUCUUGACAUCCUGAUAACUUUCUAGAGAUAGAUUGGUGCCUUCGGGAAAUCAGUGACAGGUGCUGCAUGGCUGUCGUCAGCUCGUGCCG
rnacentral:rRNA from 1 species